rnacentral:rRNA from 1 species
CACGUGGGCUGUUAUGUAAGUCAGGGGUGAAAUCCCACGGCUCAACCGUGGAACUGCCCUUGAUACUGCACGACUUGAAUCCGGGAGAGGGUGGCGGAAUUCCAGGUGUAGGAGUGAAAUCCGUAGAUAUCUGGAGGAACAUCAGUGGCGAAGGCGGCCACCUGGACCGGUAUUGACGCUGAGGUGCGAAAGCGUGGGGAGCAAACA